CGAAUGCGCCUCAGACACCACUAACGACUGCCUAUUUGUUUGUGAGAACACCCCGGGCUCGUACCGCUGUACCUGUUCCGCAGGAUUUAUCCUUAUCAACGACCAGUGCUUCGAUAUUGACGAGUGUGCCUAUGGGCUGUCAGAGUGUUCUCAUGAAUGCAAUAACAAUGAUGGCAGUUACACAUGUGACUGUCCAGCAGGAUAUCUUCUGGGACCUGACAACAAGCAGUGCAUAGAACUAGAUGAAUGUGGCAGUACUCCUUGUCAAAAUGGAGGCAGUUGUCAUGAUGGCAUCGACCAGUUUUAUUGCGCAUGCACAUUGGGAUGGCUUGGAACUCUCUGUGAAACAGACAUUGACGAGUGUUUGGUGACUAACCAUGGUUGUGAAAACGACUGUGAGAACACACCUGGCAGUUACACCUGCAGCUGUCCAGAAGGGUUCCAGCUGAAAGACGACAGAAGGACAUGCCAAGACGUCGACGAGUGUGAAACCAGCUACCAGUGUACUCACAUCUGCAGUAACACGGAGGGAAGUUACAUCUGUAGCUGUCCAUCUGAUCUCGUCUUGCAACCAGAUGGCACUA